GAUGAACGCUGGCGGCGUGCUUAACACAUGCAAGUCGAACGGACUUUUGAUGAAACCUAGUGAUUUAAAAGUUAGUGGCGGACGGGUGAGUAACGCGUGAAUAACCUGCCUUAUACUGGGGGACAACAGUUGGAAACGACUGCUAAUACCGCAUAAGCGCACGGAGCUGCAUGGCUCAGUGUGAAAAAACUCCGGUGGUAUGAGAUGGACCCGCGUCUGAUUAGCUAGUUGGUGGGGGUAAACGGCUUACCAAGGCGACGAUCAGUAGCCGACCUGAGAGGGUGACCGGCCACAUUGGGACUGAGACACGGCCCAAA
rnacentral:rRNA from 1 species